AGAGUUUGAUCCUGGCUCAGGACGAAUUCUGGCGGCGUGCUUAACACAUGCAAGUCGAACGGGGUGUUUAUUUCGGUAAACACCAAGUGGCGAACGGGUGAGUAACGCGUAAGCAAUCUACCUUCAAGAUGGGGACAACACUUCGAAAGGGGUGCUAAUACCGAAUGAAUGUAAGAGUAUCGCAUGAGACACUUACUAAAGGAGGCCUCUGACAUAAGCUUCCGCUUGAAGAUGAGCUUGCGUCUGAUUAGCUAGUUGGUGAGGGUAAAGGCCCACCAAGGCGACGAUCAGUAGCCGGUCUGAGAGGAUGAACGGCCACAUUGGGACUGAGACACGGCCCAGACUCCUACGGGAGGCAGCAGUGGGGAAUCUUCCGCAAUGGGCGAAAGCCUGACGGAGCAACGCCGCGUGAACGAUGAAGGUCUUAGGAUCGUAAAGUUCUGUUGUUAGGGACGAAGGGUAAGAAUCAUAAUAAGGUUUUUAUUUGACGGUACCUAACGAGGAAGCCACGGCUAACUACGUGCCAGCAGCCGCGGUAAUACGUAGGCGGCAAGCGUUGUCCGGAAUUAUUGGGCGUAAAGGGAGCGCAGGCGGGAAACUAAGCGGAUCUUAAAAGUGCGGGGCUCAACCCCGUGAUGGGGUCCGAACUGGUUUUCUUGAGUGCAGGAGAGGAAAGCGGAAUUCCCAGUGUAGCGGUGAAAUGCGUAGAUAUUGGGAAGAACACCAGUGGCGAAGGCGGCUUUCUGGACUGUAACUGACGCUGAGGCUCGAAAGCUAGGGUAGCGAACGGGAUUAGAUACCCCGGUAGUCCUAGCCGUAAACGAUG
rnacentral:rRNA from 1 species